rnacentral:rRNA from 1 species
AUACGAAGGGGGCAAGCGUUGUUCGGAAUUACUGGGCGUAAAGCGCGCGUAGGCGGAUUGGUCAGUUAGGGGUGAAAUCCCAGGGCUUAACCCUGGAACUGCCUCUAAUACUGCCAGUCUUGAGUUCGGGAGAGGUGAGUGGAAUUCCUAGUGUAGAGGUGAAAUUCGUAGAUAUUAGGAAGAACACCAGUGGCGAAGGCGGCUCACUGGCCCGAUACUGACGCUGAGGCGCGAAAGCGUGGGGAGCAAACAGGAUUAGAUACCCUUGUAGUCC